UCCACCUGGGGAGUACGAUCGCAAGGUUGAAACUCAAAGGAAUUGACGGGGGCCCGCACAAGCGGAGGAGCAUGUGGUUUAAUUCGAUGAUACGCGAGGAACCUUACCUGGGCUUAAAUGCAUAAUGACGUACUGGGAAACUGGUAUUUCUUCGGACAUUUUGCAAGGUGCUGCAUGGUUGUCGUCAGCUCGUGCCGUGAGGUGUCGGGUUAAGUCCCAUAACGAGCGCAACCCCUAUUGUUAGUUGCCAUCAGAUAAUGCUGGGGACUCUAACAAAACUGCCCGCGUAAGCGUGGAGGAAGGUGGGGAUGACGUCAAAUCAGCACGGCCCUUACGUCCAGGGCUACACACGUGCUACAAUGGCCGAUACAGAGGGCAGCCACUUGGUGACAAGGAGCAAAUCUCAAAAGUCGGUCUCAGUUCGGAUCGGAGUCUGCAACUCGACUCCGUGAAGUUGGAUUCGCUAGUAAUCGUAGAUCAGCAACGCUACGGUGAAUACGUUCCCGGGCCUUGUACACACCGCCCGUCAAACAAUGGAAGCUUGGGGGUACCUAAAGUCCGUAACCGUAAGGAGCGGCCU
rnacentral:rRNA from 1 species